rnacentral:rRNA from 1 species
AGUGAACGCUGGCGGUAGGCCUAACACAUGCAAGUCGAACGGCAGCACAGUAAGAGCUUGCUCUUACGGGUGGCGAGUGGCGGACGGGUGAGGAAUACAUCGGAAUCUACUUUUUCGGGGGGGAUAACGUAGGGAAACUUACGCUAAUACCGCAUACGAUCUACGGGUGAAAGCAAGAGUACUUCGGACCUUGCGCGAUUGAAUGAGCCGAUGUCGGAUUAGCUAGUUGGCGGGGUAAAGGCCCACCAAGGCGACGAUCCGUAGCUGGUCUGAGAGGAUGAUCAGCCACACUGGAACUGAGACACGGUCCAGACUCCUACGGGAGGCAGCAGUGGGGAAUAUUGGACAAUGGGCGCAAGCCUGAUCCAGCCAUACCGCGUGGGUGAAGAAGGCCUUCGGGUUGUAAAGCCCUGUUGUUGGGAAAGAAAAGCAGCAGGUUAAUACCCCGAUGUUCUGACGGUACCCAAAGAAUAAGCACCGGCUAACUUCGUG